GUCUUGUAUAUGCAUGCAUCGAUCAACUAAUUAAUGGCUCAUCUGCCCGGCCAUGUGUCCUACCUAGAACACUUAAUGAAAAAAAAAAGUCCUUCCCACAGCUAAUGCUUAACCUAGCAGCCGCUCGACACAGCAUUGCCCCAAACAGCCAAACUAUACCUCGACAUAGCCCCUCCAAACCCCGACUCUCUCCGAAUCACUCUAACUCACUCCAUAGCUACCCCGACUCACUCCACGGCCCUAAACCUUAAAUCCACCGCCUCUGAAGGCCCGACUCUGGUGCGAAGCUUUCGAAGCCCUAAGUCGGAGAUUUGUCUUCGAAUCUGGUGUUGAGUUCGGGUUCUUCACAAAUCACUCUUUUGAUUUGGGGUUUUGACUAACUGGAGAUUCUGAUAAAGGCUGACGGAAGAUUUCAGUGGAUUGUUGUUGGACGAGAACCUGGUGGCACAAGCUAUCAAGCUACUGAUAGAAACGAAACAUGUUCUAAUAUCAAAUUUAUCAGCUAUCGGAAAUGGAACGCCUGAAGAAUUAGCAGAACAGUUCUGGUUUUCGUUUGUUUUGUUCUCGGUGAAAACAUUGAGUGAGAAGAGUUCUGAUAAUUCACAAAUUGAGAGCUGCUAAGCUGAAGAUCACUGCUAAGGCUUCGGAAGUUGCGCAUACUAUGUAUGCUGUUCUUAAUUAUAUAUCAGUUAUGGUGGUGAAGAUAGUGGUCAUCAGCAGUAUUUUAUCUGGGAUAUCAGCUGUGGUGAGCAAGUUUUGUUCGUGUAAAGUCCCUGGUUGUGUGCUUGGUUUAGGGCGUUUGUGAUUGUGGUUUGGAUUUUGGUUGAUUGGUAGAUUGUAUCUUAAUCUCUAAUGAGCCAACGACCACAAUCUGGUGCUCCUGCUCCCAGAAAGGCAUGGUGCACUGCCCUUUGUUAAAUGUGAACCUGUAGUUUAUACAAUAUUACUGAUUUGCUUUGUUUUGACUCAGAGGAGGUUCAUACCAAAAGCUUGCCCAAAGGCUGAAGUUAAACCGUAUAAACUCCUCACUUUUUGUUCAAACCAAUGUACUUUAUUAUUGAUUAUCCUUUUCUUUUCUGGUUAAUUUGAACAUGACUCACUUGUGUUGUUCUUGAUGUCUCUAUAGCGACCUGGAGGAGGAAGAGCAAGCUAGUCAUGCUGAAAAGGAGAGGGAGUUGCUCAGACAUUUCCAUGAACAAUCUUUGAGGGCAAAGCUGAAAAACGAAAAGAAAGGUAGAGGCUUUUCUCAAGUGGGUUUUUGAGUGGGAUGUUGAAGAAGGCUUAUACCAGAUCCUUCAAUUCCUUGCAGAACAGCCUUGGUCUAAAGAACAAACUAGAUGUUAGAGAACUUGCAAUUCAUUUUGGGUGUGUUCGAAUCAUUCCUGUUGUGCAAAAGGUUUAUACCUGUUUCCUCCAACUGCUGCUACUGUGAGCUCCGCCCUACUCUUGGGUAUAUGCAGUCUCCCUGAUACCAUAUUUAGAAAUGCUGUGGAUAUGGCGCUGGCAGAUUCGGAGUGUAACAAGCAUGAGAAUUCCGAAUUGAGAUUGUCAUGUUUCUGUAACAAGGCUUUAGUCAAUGUUGGUACUGAUUUGGCAAAACUAGUUCCUGGCAGAGUGUCCACUGAGGUAGAUGCACGUCUUGCUUAUGACACGCAUGGAAUUAUAAGGAAGCAUGGCUCUGUGUAUAAGCUUGCGUUUGGACCGAAAGGAUUUGUUGUGGUAUAUAUCAGAUCCUAUUGUUGCAGGGCAUAUUUUUCAAGAAAAUGCAUUUGGUUAUAAUAAGGUUAUUGUGAAGGAAGGGAGACCUUUAAGUUCUGCUUCUUGGUUGCUUCUGUAAGUCAUUGAUGCACUGAAAAAUGUUGCAGUGAGGCAGCGGUGGAUUCUAAGAAUGUUGUAGCUGCCGUAAAUGCAAGUACUUGGAGCACCAAAUGAGAGUAUUUGGCUGCUGCAUAAUUAGCACAACAACUUCCUGUAUUUGGAGCACUGCAACAUCCUAGAACUCUUUCAAUGAGGAAGCCCCAUUACUAUUCUUUAGGCCAUGGAGAGUGCCAAUGUUAUGAAGUGAAGCCUAAUUUUGAAGACAAAAGCUAAGAAGAGCAGGAGAUCAGUGAAUACUUGACUUGGAUUUUUUCUGUUCUCCUAUUUUGUAGAUACAAUUAGCAUUAUCAGACCCAUUUAGAUUGUUAUGGGAUUAUAACAACUAACUAUUAUGAUUAAUUUUCUGUUCUUUUGGUCA